AUGCUCAAGCCAGGGCAUUGUUGGAGCGUGUACGUGAAUGCCUUGACAAGGAGCGAUGCGAUAGAAGACUGCAUAGCCUGGGCAAGACUGAAGUUUAAAGAUUACUUCUCUAAUCGUGUGAAGCAGCUAACAUUAACAUUUCCUGAAGAUGCUGCCACUAGCACUGGUGCUCCUUUCUGGUAUGCCCUUAAGCGUUUCCCUUGCCCGGUGCAAUUCUCAGCUGUCGAUUCAUCUCACAUUCAAUUUAUACUGUCUGCUUCCAUAUUGAGAACGGUGUCUUUUGGGAUCCCCAUACCGGACUGGGUGAAUAACAUGGAUAAUCCGGCCGAUAUAGUAAAUAAGGUUGCAGUGCGUGAAUUUGAGCCAAAGAGUGGGGUUAAGAUUGAAACACAUGAGAAGGCUACUAACCUCCAGUGCCUCAGUUGA
rnacentral:rRNA from 1 species